rnacentral:rRNA from 1 species
GACGAACGCUGGCGGCGUGCUUAACACAUGCAAGUCGAACGGAAAGGCCCUGCUUUUGUGGGGUGCUCGAGUGGCGAACGGGUGAGUAACACGUGAGUAACCUGCCCUUGACUUUGGGAUAACUUCAGGAAACUGGGGCUAAUACCGGAUAGGAGCUCCUGCUGCAUGGUGGGGGUUGGAAAGUUUCGGCGGUUGGGGAUGGACUCGCGGCUUAUCAGCUUGUUGGUGGGGUAGUGGCUUACCAAGGCUUUGACGGGUAGCCGGCCUGAGAGGGUGACCGGCAUCAUGGGGGCUGGGUUAGCGCCCAGUCCACUAGGGGGGGGGGGGGGGGGGAAUUUGAGACAGGGGGGGAAAGCCUGAUGCAGCACCGCCGCGUGGGGGGGGAGGGCCGUCGGGUGGUACCCGGCUUCCGCCUGGGAAAGGGCGAGGGGGAGGGUAAGGGAUAAAAAAACCCCGGCUACCUACGUG